CCUAUUGUUGCAGGAAACCUUAGUGGGAGACCGGGUAGCAUGGAAGCUGGACGUUAGGAGCAGCGGAAGUAUAUUUGCCUUUCCUUUUGUAAAACGGUAUAAAGUCUUUGACUCGAUAUUGGCACUAGGCCUGGAUCCAUCUGUAAUAUUUUACUUGUAACGAAUCUUUAUUAUAUUUAAUGAAAGUGAUGUUUUAUAUUCGUUACAAUGGUUCUCUGAUAAAUAGACUUGUCCGGUCUAAACACAACGUUUGGUUUAGGUAUGGGUUGAAAAGCCUUAGGCCGUGAUCUAACGGAAACGUUACCUCAUAGUACGGGUUGCAAAGCCUUAAGCCAUGAUUUAGCGGGACGUGUUAGUGGAUGAACUGGUCGAUGUUGCGGAUUAAGUUCUGUGACUUUGACUGGAUUGUCCCUAGCCCGUCAUGUAGCGCUUCCGGACCAUGGUGUUGGGUUGGACGGUCAGUCAUGUUCUUGUUUGAUUGUUGGCCGAUGGGUCGACCUAUGCCUAGGACGGUUCGGGGGUGUUACAGUCGGGGGCAUUCGUAUUUCAUAGUCAGAGGUGAAAUUAUUGGAUUUAUGUAAGACGAACAACUGCGAAAGCAUUUUCCAAGGAUGUUUUCAUUAACCAAGAAUGAAAGUUGGGGGUUCGAAGACGAUCAGAUACCGUUCUAGUCUCAACCAUAAACGAUGCCGACCAGGGAUCAGCGGAUGUUGCUUUUAGGACUCCGUUGUCACCUUAAGAGAAAUCAAAGUUUUUGGGUUCCGGGGGGAGUAUGGUCGCAAGGCUGAAACUUAAAGGAAUUGACAGAAGGGCACCACCAGGAGUGGAUCUUGCGGCUUAAUUUGACUCAACACGGGGAAACUUACCAGGUCCAGACAUAGUAAGGAUUGACAGACUGAGAGCUCUUUCUUGAUUCUAUGGGUGGUGGUGCAUGGCCCUUCUUAGUUGGUGGAGCGAUUUGUCUGGUUAAUUCCGUUAAUGAACGAGACCUCAGCCUGCUAACAAGAAACGUGGAGGCAUCCCUUCACCGCUGGCUUUUUAGAGGCCAAGGAAGUUUGAGGCAAUAACAGGCCUGUCAUGCCCUUAGAUGUUCUGGGCCGCAUGCGCGCUACACUGAUGUAUUCAACAAGUUCACACCUUGGCCGACAGGGCCGGGUAAUCUUUGAAAUUUCAUCGUGAUGGGGAUAGAUCAUUGCAAUUGUUGGUCUUCAACGAGGAAUUCCUAGUAAGCGCGAGUCAUCAGCUUGUGUUGACUACGUCCCUGCCCUUUGUACACACCGCCCGUCGCUCCUACCAAUUGAAUGAUCCGGUGAAGUGUUUGGAUCACGGCUACAUGGGUGGUUCGCCGUCUGCGACGUCGCGAGAAGUCCACUAAACCUUAUCAGUUAGAGGAAGGAGAAGUCGUAACAAGGUUUCCGUAGGUGAACCUGCGGAAG
rnacentral:rRNA from 1 species